CGACUGGCAUCACUUCCAACAUCCAUCCACCUCUCCUGUGCUGUUCAUCUGUUUAUUCAUCUUUUCACUUUUUGCAAAAGGACUUGGACAAUCUGCAAAUAUGAACCUGGCCAUCAUCUUCCUCUGUCUGGCUAGCACAGUCUCAGCUGCACCAUCAGCUUUUCAUUACCUGAAUCAUUACACAGGAUCCAGACCUCAGUUACCACCAUCUCAGAUGAAAAAUCCCUUCGCAGGUGGUCAGCCUCUCCCACCAGCUGGACUUCCUGGUGCCUACAGUGUGGAACUG